ACUCUUUUAGUUUAUUAAUAAAACAUAACUCUGAAGAAGUUAAGAAAGAUAGGAGUG
rnacentral:tRNA from 1 species